UUAUACGACUGUCCAGGUCGUACAUAACAACCUCUCGAUUAGCAAAAUCAAUGAUUAGGAAUACGACUACCCGGACCCAGGGAUGCACCCCCACAUGGGACCCCACGUCUGGCCCGAUCACCAUGUGAGUUUCAGGCUACACCCCUGCCAAUCUCCAGCACGUCAAGCGCGGGUACGAAGUAUUCCUAAUCAUAGAGUUUACUAACCUACUGGGCUUUACUGGUCCCAUACCCAGUAAGUGAUCAGAUGCUUAUCACUUGAUCAAAGGUUAAGACAACGAAUCGGGCCUUAAC
rnacentral:lncRNA from 1 species